CUUGUACACACCGCCCGUCGCUACUACCGAUUGAAUGGCUCAGUGAGGCGUUCGGACUGGCUCGGGGAGGUUGGCAACGACCACCCCAAGCCGGAAAGUUCGUCAAACUCGGUCAUUUAGAGGAAGUAAAAGUCGUAACAAGGUCUCCGUAGGUGAACCUGCGGAGGGAUCAUUACACAAAGAAUAUGAAGGCGUGGGCGCGCGCUGGCAACAGCCGUGCUCUGCUGGAUUAUUUUUCACCCAUGUCUUUUGCGCACUUUUUGUUUCCUGGGCGAGUUCGCUCGCCACCAGGACCCAACCAUAAACCUUUUUUUAUGCAGUUGCAAUCAGCGUCAGUAUAAUCAUAAUGUAUUAAAACUUUCAACAACGGAUCUCUUGGUUCUGGCAUCGAUGAAGAACGCAGCGAAAUGCGAUACGUAGUGUGAAUUGCAGAAUUCAGUGAAUCAUCGAAUCUUUGAACGCACAUUGCGCCCUUUGGUAUUCCAAAGGGCAUGCCUGUUCGAGCGUCAUUUGUACCCUCAAGCUUUGCUUGGUGUUGGGCGUUUUUUGUCUCUCCUUGCGGGAGACUCGCCUUAAAACGAUUGGCAGCCGGCCUACUGGUUUCGGAGCGCAGCACAAAUUUGCGCUUGCAAUCAGCCAAGGGCGGUAUCCAUCAAGCCUUUUUUUAUCCACAUUUUGACCUCGGAUCAGGUAGGGAUACCCGCUGAACUUAAGCAUAUCAAUAAGCGGAGGAAAAGAAACCAACAGGGAUUGCCCUAGUAACGGCGAGUGAAGCGGCAACAGC
rnacentral:sRNA from 1 species